UACGGAGGGAGCUAGCGUUGUUCGGAAUUACUGGGCGUAAAGCGCGCGUAGGCGGCUUUGUAAGUUAGAGGUGAAAGCCCGGGGCUCAACCCCGGAACUGCCUUUAAAACUGCAUCGCUUGAAUCCGGGAGAGGUGAGUGGAAUUCCGAGUGUAGAGGUGAAAUUCGUAGAUAUUCGGAAGAACACCAGUGGCGAAGGCGACUUACUGGACACAUAUUGACGCUGAGGUGCGAAAGCGUGGGGGAGCAAACAGG
rnacentral:rRNA from 1 species